rnacentral:rRNA from 1 species
AGUCAAGUAAUUAAGUGCAUGUGGUGGAUGCCUUGGCAGUCAGAGGCGAUGAAAGACGUGAUAGCCUGCGAAAAGCUCCGGGGAGGCGGCAAAUAUCCUUUGAUCCGGAGAUGUCUGAAUGGGGGAACCCACCUACUUUAAGGUA